GUGAUGUGGCUGUGACAUUCGUUGCUCAGUGCCUGCUGAUUUGGUCUGUCUGGUGGGUGUCCUUUUCCUCCUCUACCUUCCUCGCCCCCACCCCAUCCAGCACUAAGUGGAACAGGAUGAGCUUCCUGUCUAGAGGAGAAUUGUUUUGUUAAAGGUAUGUGAGUAGCUUCUAGUUCUCCAAUGAAAGUCCUUUAAAAAAAUUUUAAGAAGUAUUUCAAAUGUAUAUGUAAUGAGUCCUCAUAUACCAUAAACAAAUUCAUUACUAGUUUGCUAUAUUUAU
rnacentral:snRNA from 1 species